UGUACAUGAAAUUAUGGAACUAGAGGAGAAGAUGAGAAGAAUGGAAAGACAACCAAAUCAGGAAUUUUUGGAUCAAAUGGCUACAAUUUGGCUUGAACCUUCGGUUGAUGGGCACAACUCAAAUAGAAAAAGAGUUCUUGCUCCUCCAGUUGAUGGACUCCAACUUGUUAGAAAAUGAUCAAAUAAUUUACAGAACAAGCCAAGUGGAUCAAACGAUGCAGAUUUGCAAGCAUCAAAUAAGAGUUCUAUUUCAAAUAAGGUUUGUCUACUUAAAUACUCUUUAGAACUUGUCAUUAGUGAUCUUUAAGUUGUUGUGCUUGCACUUUUUGCAAUUGCAUAUACAAUACCCAAAACUUGAUGUGUAUCAUUUUAUCCUAGAACAAAGAAACUAUGGUUCAUAAUGAUGGUAGUGCACGGCAGCUAGAAAAAUGUUCUGCUGCACACAAGGUAUCAUCAUAGUCCUAUAUACAAAAUAAUGAUCAAACUAUAGUGCUCCCAUCUUUAUGUGUUUAGAACCAAGAAACUUCUGAUCAUAAUUUUAGUGCUCAGCAAGGGGAAAUAAAUUCUGCUGCACAUAAGGCAUAUUUCCGUUACCAUAUACAAUAUGGUCAAAAUACAUUGCUUUGAUGGUUAUGUAUCUACUGGCCGUCUUGCUAUCAGAAUGUUGUUCAGAACAAAGAAACUUUGCUUGAGAAUGUCAACAGGGAGAAAAAACUUCUACUACAAACAAACUGGUAUCUUUUCAUAAUCACAUACACAUUUCUGUUCAAACUAUAAUGAUGUCUUGUUUAUUUGUUUAUAACUUCUUCUUUGCUAUCAGACUGUUGUCCAGACCAAAAAAACAACAAAAGGUGCUAAUGCAAGCAGUAAGAGUGCUCAAAGUGGUUCGUUGAGCUGGUUGGGUGCUAGUGAAUUACCUGCAAGAGUGCUCAUUCAUUUCAUAUGUUCCUCUGUUUUGUUUCUAUUUUUUUAUAUGGUUACUUUGAUUUUCUCUAACAGCCAGGAACUAAAGUAUUCUUGAAGAGCCUGAAAAACCAUAACAGGGAUGUAGCUCUUGCAACAACUGUAAGUUGUGAUCCUAAAUUUAAACUUGAUGGUGCUGAAAUUAGGAAUGAAUUCUGGGCAGUGCAUAUGGCACUUGUGAAAACUGAAAAUUAGGUGCGGAGUCACAAAAACUACAAUACUCUCGGUAAUGCAGAAAAAACAAAGAUUGCAUGGCCCUCAACCUUUAUUCAAAAGAUAAAUGGAUGAGUAUAUGGGUGCCUGGCAAGUGUACUGCAAUGAUGAUGUUGAUGUUCUGCUUCAUGAUGGUGACAAUGAUGGAUGCUUCCAGUUUUAGUUAUGUUGUGGGGAUGACGUUCCUGUUGGAUGUUGUUCCUCGAUCAAGUUUUAGUUAGUUGUAGGGGUGUUGAUGGAUUCUUUCAGUUAAAUUUCACUGUCAAGAAAAUAGUUAGAUUAUGCUUCACAUUUGGAUGAUGUUCCUCUUGUAAUAUCCACUAUUGUAAUCCAACAAUUUUAUCUCAUAUAUGAUAUAUGAUUUC